UACGUAGGGACCGAGCGUUGUCCGGAUUCAUUGGGCGUAAAGAGCUCGUAGGCGGCUGCUCAAGUCGAAUGUGAAAACUCGAGGCUCAACCUCGAGCCUGCAUUCGAUACUGGGCGGCUAGAGUCUGGUAGGGGGAUCUGGAAUUCCUGGUGUAGCGGUGGAAUGCGCAGAUAUCAGGAGGAACACCAAUGGCGAAGGCAGCACUCUGGGACGUGACUGACGCUGAGACGCGAAAGCGUGGGGAGCAAACAGG
rnacentral:rRNA from 1 species